GCGGAGGAAAAGCAACUAACAUGGAUUCCCUUAGUAACGGCGAGUGAAGAGGGAAGAGCCCAAGAUUGAAAGCUGGCGUCUUCGGCGUCCGCAUUGUAAUCUCAAGAAGUGUUUUCCGCUUCGGACCAUGCCUAAGUCCCUUGGAAAAGAGCAUCAUAGAGGGUGAUAAUCCCGUACAUGGCAUGGAGCGCCCGAAGCUUUGUGAUACGCUUUCUAAGAGUCGAGUUGUUUGGGAAUGCAGCUCAAAAUGGGUGGUAAAUGCCAUCUAAGGCUAAAUAUUGGGGAGAGACCGAUAGCGAACAAGUACAGUGAUGGAAAGAUGAAAAGAACUUUGAAAAGAGAGUUAAACAGUACGUGAAAUUGCCAAAAGGGAAGGGUAGGAGGUCAGAGAUGCGUUCUGGGAUUCAGCCUUGCUUUUGCUUGGUGUUUUUCCCAGAUGGCAGGCCAACGUCGGUUUUGGGCACUGGAGAAGGGUGGAAGGAACGUGGCACCUCUCGGGGUGUGUUAUAGCCUUCUACUGGAUACAGUGACCGAGACCGAGGACAGCAGCGUACUCGCAAGAGCGGGCCUUCGGGCACCUUACGCUAGGGCGUGCA
rnacentral:rRNA from 1 species